AUGGCCUCCUCCCUCUACUCCGGAUGUAUUGCUGAUCCAGAUAGAUGCCGUUUGCUGAGUGUCGAUGCAAAGAGAGAACUUGUCCUUCAAUUAUCGAAGUGUCCGCAUAUUGCACUUGGAUUGCUACAUGAAUGGACAAGCCAUGAUAUCAAGCAGAUUCUCUUCUCUGUGUUAUGUAGAGAGAAUAAAUAUGAAGGGGUAUCAAAGAAAAUAAUGCUAAAGUAUCUCUUCCAAGCUGUGAACGGGGAGCCUUCUGGCCGUGGUAAACGUGUAUCCAAGUCAGACCCUGAGCAAAACUCAAGCACUCUCCAGUUCUCUCACAAAAAACUGAGAAAGAAUGAUGCUACACUGCUUCCAGUUAUUGUCAGCACUCCAGUAACAGCUGGUGUAAGUGCACCAACAAACAGUGCAUGCCAAAAUUCAGCUUGCAGGGCUAGUCUUAAUCCAGCAGAUAAAUUUUGCAGACGUUGCUCAUGCUGUAUCUGUUUUAAGUAUGAUGACAAUAAGGAUCCUAGCCUCUGGCUGUCCUGCAAUUCAGACCAACCCUUGCAGGGAGAGUCAUGUGGUUUGUCAUGCCACUUGGAAUGUGCACUCGGGGAUGAAAGAUCCGGAAUUCUGCAGAGUGGACAGUCAAAGAAACUUGAUGGUUCUUAUUACUGCAUCCACUGCGGGAAACAAAAUGAUUUACUUGGGUGCUGGAAGAAACAACUAUUGAUAGCAAAAGAUGCUCGGAGGUCUGAUGUAUUGUGCCAUCGGAUAUCUCUUAGUCAUAAGCUCCUCGUAUCCACUAAGAAGUACUUGGUCCUCCAUGAGUUUGUGGAUACAGCAUUGAAGAAGCUGGAGGGUGAGCUUGGUCCGAUUACUGGCCUUGAAGAUAAGGGUCGGGGAAUUGUUGGUCGUCUUGUUGUAGGUGCUGAAGUUCAGAAGCUUUGCAGCUGCGCCAUAGAGACUCUGGAAUCUAUGUUAUCUGGUGCAUUAACAGCUGAGUCGCAAACCCAGAGUUCUUGUGUGGUACCAUCAAAUUUCAUAAGGCUUGAGGAUAUAUCCCAUGAAUCUGUCACUGUAGUUUUUGACCUGCAUGUAUGCCCCAUGCUCUCUCAAGGUUUAACUGGCUUUAACCUGUGGCACCGGAAGGCCAGCGAAGAACAUUAUCCCUCAAACCCAACAGGCAUAGUACCGACGCCAUCGACAAUGCUAGUGGUCAGAGGACUUGCUCCAUGUACAUCCUAUGUCAUCAAGGUUGUUGCAUUCACCAACUCAAAGGAGAUUGGGUCGUGGGAAGUCAGGACAAAUACCACUAACUGCCCCAAGGAACCAGAUGCAAAAGAUUCGAUGCCCGUGGAUGCUGGAAAAGAUCUGAAUAACACAAGCGCGAAGACAAAUAGCAGUGGUCUGUCGAAUCCUUCUUCUCAAGACGUGGAAUCGUACAAUGACAGUAGCACUUCUGCCGAUCUCAGCAGGUCGCCGGAAAGCGACGUUGAAUACUGGACAAGUCUUGGAAAGGCACCUCAUCGCCGCAAUGAAACCGACAGUGACUCACGAGAUCUUAAAACAGGUGUUGCUGGGGUAACUAAAGCUGACGAGCUGGAGGAAGCUCCUAGGGGAUCGCCAUCAGCUCUAGACGACGACGACGACGACGAAGAGGAACCUGGUUCAGCUGCUGAAGCAGCUCUGCCAAAGAGGCCGUCAGAGUUGAUGGUGUGUAGCCGGGAAGCUCUGAAGCAAAACCUGGCGACCAUCUGCUCAGAGAUUGCAUCACAGGAGCACACUGGAAGCGAGUCGGUUGCUCCACCCGAACACCGCGGCUCACCGCCACGCGUGACACAGGAAGGGACUGAGAACCGCAAGGGGGUUUCUGCAAGGUGUGUUCAAGCAAAGUCCGAUGACCAUAUUCCUCAAGAUGACAGUUCGAAGGCUGAAAUGGAGGACCCCGGGAGUCUGUCAUGCAAAGGAACCCCUGGGAAACCUGAGAACAGUGGACACAAUGAUGGUGGACCUUCAGCGCCCCACACGUCUGCUCAAGCGCCUCCUCUUCGGAAGCCCUCGAACUUGCCGCAGCGCCACAAGCAGGGGAUCGACAUUGUACCGGAGAACGCGCCGGGCUCGCCGGUUCCCAUGACAGGGAAUGGGAGCAAGCCAAAGAACGAUGGCCGUGUUCCUCAGCCUUGCCCUCUGAAACCUGGGCCAGAGCCAGGAAAACCCGAGGACGCCGCGCGCACGGACGCGGACGCCUAUGUGUACUGUGUCAAGGUGAUCAGGUGGCUGGAAUGCGAGGGCUACGUCGAGGCCAGCUUCAGGGUGAAGUUCCUGACGUGGCUGAGCCUGCGGGCGACCCGGCACGAGAAGAGGGUGGUCAGCGUGUUUGUGGACGCCUUCAUCGACGAUCCUGCGAGCCUCGCCGGCCAGCUAAGGGACACCUUCUCCGAGGCGAUCUACAGCAAGAGGCCGCCUAUGGCGCCGUAG
rnacentral:rRNA from 1 species